rnacentral:rRNA from 1 species
GGACGAACGCUGGCGGCGUGCUUAACACAUGCAAGUCGAACGGAGCGCCAUGGAAUGAGGUUUCGGCCAAAGGAAAUGGUUGCUUAGUGGCGAACGGGUGAGUAACGCGUGAGGAACCUGCCUUUCAGUGGGGGACAACAGUUGGAAACGACUGCUAAUACCGCAUAAUACUUUCGAGCGGCAUCGUUUGAAAGUCAAAGAUUUAUUGCUGAAAGAUGGCCUCGCGUCUGAUUAGCUAAGUUUGGAGGGGGUUAAACGGGCCCACCAAGGCGACGAUCAGUAGCCGGACUGAGAGGUUUGAACGGCCACAUUGGGACUGAGAUACGGCCCAGGACUCCUACGGGAGGCAGCAGUGGGGAAUAUUGGGCAAUGGGCGCAAGCCUGACCCAGCAACGCCGCGUGAAGGAAGAAGGCUUUCGGGUUGUAAACUUCUUUUAAGAGGGAAGAGCAGAAGACGGUACCUCUAGAAUAAGCCACGGCUAACUACGUG